rnacentral:rRNA from 1 species
CCUACGGGAGACAGCAGUGGGGGAUAUUGCACAAUGGGGGGAACCCUGAUGCAGCGACGCCGCGUGGGUGAAGAAGCGCCUCGGCGCGUAAAGCCCUGUCAGCAGGGAAGAAAAUGACGGUACCUGAAGAAGAAGCCCCGGCUAACUACGUGCCAGCAGCCGCGGUAAUACGUAGGGGGCAAGCGUUAUCCGGAUUUACUGGGGGGAAAGGGGGCGCAGACGGCGAUGCAAGCCAGGAGUGAAAGCCCGGGGCCCAACCCCGGGACUGCUCUUGGAACUGCGUGGCUGGAGUGCAGGAGGGGCAGGCGGAAUUCCUGGUGUAGCGGUGAAAUGCGUAGAUAUCAAGAGGAACACCGGUGGCGAAGGCGGCCUGCUGGACUGCAACUGACGUUGAGGCCCGAAAGCGUGGGGAGCAAACAGGAUUAGAUACCCUUGUAGUC